UUUUUCACUGGGGCCGCGAGCGAACUUUUCAAAUUCGCUCGCAUCGGCUCUGCGACUAUAUAUAACGCGCUACUAUAUGUGCACUUUGCUAUCAGCGCUGUCCUUGAGACCACUAUACCGCCACAUAUCGCGCGCGCAGUGCACACUCGAUGCGAGCAUCAUCCAAUUUUCGUUACAUCAGCCUGCAGAAUAUAAAACAUACAGAGAUGUACAGCGGAAUGCCAGGAGAGAAUAUUUACCAUUGCAAACACGAGUUAUACAAGAAAAAGAUCUCAGCGGUGUGACGAAACUUUUAAUUAUGCUACUUGUAACAGCAACUUGCAUCUGGCGUAAGUAUACACAGGAAUUUUCUAAGAAAACUUGCUGUGCAGGUUAUUGUGUGUGUAGUGUACGUCCAGCGACACCUUGAUGUUUGCCGAAAUGUAUACUGCUGCUGUAGUGGGAUAAUGAGCGAAAAAGCCGCCGUGAUUUAUUUAAUUAAAGAAGUAUACCUAUGAA